rnacentral:rRNA from 1 species
UAGGGAAUAUUGCAAAAUGGGCGAAAGCCCGAUGCAGCAACGCCGCGUGCGCGAUGAAGGCCUUCGGGUUGUAAAGCGCUUUUCGAGGGGAUGAGGAAGGACAGUACCCUCGGAAUAAGUCUCGGCUAACUACGUGCCAGCAGCCGCGGUAAAACGUAGGAGGCGAGCGUUAUCCGGAUUUACUGGGCGUAAAGCGCGUGCAGGCGGUUCGACAAGUUGGAUGUGAAAGCUCCUGGCUCAACUAGGAGAGGUCGUUCAAGACUGUCGGACUUGAGUGUGGUAGAGGGAGGUGGAAUUCCGGGUGUAGUGGUGAAAUGCGUAGAUAUCCGGAGGAACACCAGUGGCGAAAGCGGCCUCCUGGACCACAACUGACGCUCAGACGCGAAAGCUAGGGUAGCAAACGGG